rnacentral:pre_miRNA from 1 species
GACAUUUCGGACUACUCAAGCGCAGCCCAUCAUCAGGAUACCGAUUUAUCGUGAUGAUGGACUACUCUCGAGUAGUCUGAAACAUC